GUCUGAACUCAGAUCACGUAAGAUUUUAAAAGUCGAACAGACUUAAAAUUUAAAUUUCUACUCCUAAACUUAUAUCUUAAUCCAACAUCGAGGUCGCAAUCUUUUUUAUCGAUAUGAACUCUCCAAAAAAAUUACGCUGUUAUCCCUAAAGUAACUUAAUUUUUUAAUCAUUAUUAAUGGAUCAAUUAUUCAUAAAUUAAUGGUUUUAAAUAAUUAAAAGUUAAUUAAAUUUUAAUAUCACCCCAAUAAAAUAUAAUUAAAUAUCAUAAAAAAAAAUAUCUAAAUAAUUAAAAUAAUAAUUAUAUAAAGAUUUAUAGGGUCUUCUCGUCUUUUAAAUAAAUUUUAGCUUUUUAACUAAAAAAUAAAAUUCUAUUAUAAUUUUAAAUGAAACAGUAAAUAUCUUGUUCAACCAUUCAUACAAGCCUUCAAUUAAAAGACUAAUUAUUAUGCUACCUUUGCACAGUUAAUAUACUGCGGCC
rnacentral:rRNA from 1 species